GAUGAACGCUGGCGGCGUGCCUAAUACAUGCAAGUCGAGCGAACAGACGAGGAGCUUGCUCCUCUGACGUUAGCGGCGGACGGGUGAGUAACACGUGGAUAACCUACCUAUAAGACUGGGAUAACUUCGGGAAACCGGAGCUAAUACCGGAUAAUAUAUUGAACCGCAUGGUUCAAUAGUGAAAGACGGUUUUGCUGUCACUUAUAGAUGGAUCCGCGCCGCAUUAGCUAGUUGGUAAGGUAACGGCUUACCAAGGCAACGAUGCGUAGCCGACCUGAGAGGGUGAUCGGCCACACUGGAACUGAGACACGGUCCAGACUCCUACGGGAGGCAGCAGUAGGGAAUCUUCCGCAAUGGGCGAAAGCCUGACGGAGCAACGCCGCGUGAGUGAUGAAGGUCUUCGGAUCGUAAAACUCUGUUAUUAGGGAAGAACAAAUGUGAAAGUAACUAUGCACGUCUUGACGGUACCUAAUCAGAAAGCCACGGCUAACUACGUG
rnacentral:rRNA from 1 species